GACGAACGCUGGCGGCGUGCUUAACACAUGCAAGUCGUACGGUAAGGCCCUUUCGGGGGUACACGAGUGGCGAACGGGUGAGUAACACGUGAGUAACCUGCCCACAACUUUGGGAUAACGCUAGGAAACUGGUGCUAAUACUGGAUAUGUGCUCCUGCUGCAUGGUGGGGGUUGGAAAGCUCCGGCGGUUGUGGAUGGACUCGCGGCCUAUCAGCUUGUUGGUGGGGUAGUGGCCUACCAAGGCGGCGACGGGUAGCCGGCCUGAGAGGGUGACCGGCCACAUGGGGACUGAGAUACGGCCCAGACUCCUACGGGAGGCAGCAGUGGGGAAUAUUGCACAAUGGGCGCAAGCCUGAUGCAGCAACGCCGCGUGCGGGAUGACGGCCUUCGGGUUGUAAACCGCUUUCAGCAGGGACGAAGCUUUUUGUGACGGUACCUGCAGAAGAAGCACCGGCUAACUACG
rnacentral:rRNA from 1 species